AACAUUGUCCAUUUGGGGUCUGCUGGAUUAGUCCACAUACCUGUUUGAUUCAUAAAACAUGUAUGCUAGCAGAGUACAUACAAGAAGAGAAGUAACUGCACUAGAUUGUAAAGACUGGGGUAGACCUCUUUCUUAAUGUCUAGUGUCCUUUGUCUUAAGAUUUGGUGCAAUAUGU